AAACGACUCUCGACAACGGAUAUCCCGGCUCUCGCAUCGAUGAAGAACGUAGCGAAAUGCGAUACUUGGUGUGAAUUGCAGAAUCCCGUGAACCAUCGAGUCUUUGAACGCAAGUUGCGCCCGAAGCCAUUAGGCUGAGGGCACGUCUGCCUGGGUGUCACGC
rnacentral:rRNA from 1 species